rnacentral:rRNA from 1 species
GAUGAACGCUGGCGGCGUGCUUAACACAUGCAAGUCGAACGGAAAGGCCCAAGCUUGCUUGGGUACUCGAGUGGCGAACGGGUGAGUAACACGUGGGUGAUCUGCCCUGCACUUCGGGAUAAGCCUGGGAAACUGGGUCUAAUACCGGAUAGGACCACAUUUUGGUUGGUGUGGUGGAAAGUUUUCCGGUGUGGGAUGAGCUCGCGGCCUAUCAGCUUGUUGGUGGGGUAAUGGCCUACCAAGGCGUCGACGGGUAGCCGGCCUGAGAGGGUGUACGGCCACAUUGGGACUGAGAUACGGCCCAGACUCCUACGGGAGGCAGCAGUGGGGAAUAUUGCACAGUGGGCGCAAGCCUGAUGCAGCGACGCCGCGUGGGGGAUGACGGCCUUCGGGUUGUAAACUCCUUUCGCUAGGGACGAAGCGCAAGUGACGGUACCUGGAGAAGAAGCACCGGCUAACUACGUG